UGUGCAUCACGACAACUGAAUAAUGAGUUAAGUUCACUCACACUUACGGAAACACCGUUGCAUUUGGUCAGUCAGCUUUGCUACGAGCCAUCAGUUUAUGGAAUUCUCUUCCUCGGGGCACUGCCACGCAAACGGAUAGAGAUAAAUUUGGGCAACUCCAGAUUAUGCAACUUCUGCCAUAAAAAAGUGUCAGACUUCUUGCCAUGUUCUGUAUAGCUGUGUAACGUCAGGCAGGUUUUCUUCCUCUUUCACGCCUUAAUGUGCACUUCUUUAUCAUGUGCGCGAGCAAUUGUGCGUAAUAAUAUAUAUCAGUUGUUUUGUACGCUACCACUAAAAUUAAUUUCCGUUUAUCUCAAAAUUGUUAGUAUUGUUUCUUUUUCUGUUUUUCAUGUUUUGAACUACAUAUUUUUUAUGCGAUGUUUCAUUAUGUGCGUGAUAAAAUUUUUUCGAUGUUUGCUUACUACCGCAGCUCUGCAUAUGUAACCCAUUUUGUAGUGAUUAUUUACUUCUACUCAUCCUUGGGGUGUUCUUGUUUGCAAUUUUCUUACUUUGAUGACCCCCUUACUUAAUGCACCUUAUGGACCAUAAAGUACCUUAAAAAAACA
rnacentral:lncRNA from 1 species